rnacentral:rRNA from 1 species
UGAGGAAUAUUGCUCAAUGGCCGCAAGGCUGAAGCAGCAACGCCGCGUGAGGGAUGAAGGAUCUAUGGUCUGUAAACCUCUGUAGAGAAGGAAAAAUAACCCAUUAUAUGGGCUUGAUAGUACUUCUAGAGUAAGCCCCGGCUAACUACGUGCCAGCAGCCGCGGUAAUACGUAGGGGGCGAGCGUUGUCCGGAAUCACUGGGUGUAAAGGGUGCUCAGGCGGGUCGAUAAGUCAGAGGUGAAAUUUCACAGCUUAACUGUGAAUGUGCUUUUGAUACUGUCGGUCUAGAGUUCAGAAGAGGGCAAUGGAAUUCUUGGUGUAGCGGUAAAAUGCAUAGAUAUCAAGAAGAACACCAGUUGCGAAGGCGGUUGCCUGGUCUGUAACUGACGCUCAAGCACGAAAGCGUGGGGAUCAAACA